UGGAAGAUGAUCAAAAUCAGAGUCUUACGAAAAGGGUUUGGAUUGAAUCCAAGAAACUAUGGCAGAUACUGGGUCCUGCAAUCUUUAGUCGCCUUACCUCUUACUCUAUGCUUGUUAUUACACAAGCUUUUGCAGGUCAUUUGGGUGACCUAGAGCUCGCAGCCAUUUCCAUUGCCAAUAACGUCAUUGUUGGCUUCGAUUUUGGUCUCUUGUUGGGGAUGGCUAGCGCAUUGGAAACAUUAUGUGGGCAAGCUUUUGGUGCAAAAAAAUACUACAUGUUGGGUGUGUACAUGCAGCGUUCAUGGAUAGUAUUGUUCUUGUGCUGUGUUCUACUUUUGCCUCUAUAUCUCUUCGCUUGUCCUGUGUUGAAGCUAUUGGGACAGCCCCAAGACGUAGCAGAGCUUUCUGGCAGGGUUUCCGUUUGGAUGAUACCACUUCACUUUAGCUUUGCUUUUCAGUUCCCGUUGCAGAGAUUCUUGCAAAGCCAGCUUAAGAAUACAGUAAUUGCAUGGGUGUCUUUAGUGGCUUUGUUGGUGCAUGUGAUUGUGAGUUGGCUGUUUGUUUACAGGCUUCAGCUCGGAGUAAUUGGCACUGCCAUGACUCUGAACUUUUCUUGGUGGGUUCUAGUGUUUGGGCAUCUGGGUUACACUAUUUGUGGUUGUUGUCCUCUUACAUGGAAUGGGUUCUCUACCGAAGCCUUUUCUGGUCUCUGGGAAUUCACCAAACUCUCUGUAGCUUCUGGGGUCAUGCUAUGCUUGGAGAAUUGGUAUUACAGAAUACUCAUAUUGAUGACUGGAAAUCUGAAGAAUGCAGAGAUUGCUGUAGAUGCCUUGUCCAUAUGCAUGACCAUAAAUGGCUGGGAGUUGAUGAUUCCUCUUGCAUUCUUUGCAGCCACCGGAGUAAGGGUUGCUAAUGAGCUUGGAGCAGGAAAUGGGAAGGGAGCAAAGUUUGCAACAGUGGUGUCUGUGACAACAUCAAUUAUAAUGGGGCUUAUCUUCUGUGUAUUGAUCAUGAUUUUCCAUGAUCAGCUUGCCUGGAUUUUCACUACCAGUGUACCAGUCCUUAAUGCAGUAAGUCAGCUCUCUGUUCUCCUAGCUUUCACUGUUUUGCUCAACAGCGUUCAGCCCAUUCUCUCAGGGGUUGCAGUGGGAUCUGGUUGGCAAAAGUAUGUGGCAUAUAUUAACUUGGGUUGCUAUUAUUUGAUUGGGAUUCCACUGGGAUUCUUGAUGGGUUGGCUCUUUCACUUGGGAGUAAGGGGAAUUUGGGCUGGAAUGAUUUUUGGUGGAACAGCAAUUCAAACAUUGAUUUUGGCCAUCAUUACCAUUCGAUGUGACUGGGAGAAAGAGGCAGAGAAAGCAGCAUUGCAUUUGAAGAAAUGGUCGGAAGUAGAGUAAAAGUAAAAAGAUGAAUUGUUUUGUUAUUACUAAGUGAUCUC
rnacentral:misc_RNA from 1 species